rnacentral:rRNA from 1 species
AUGAACGCUAGCUACAGGCUUAACACAUGCAAGUCGAGGGGCAGCAUUUUAGUUUGCUUGCAAACUAAAGAUGGCGACCGGCGCACGGGUGAGUAACACGUAUCCAACCUGCCGAUAACUCGGGGAUAGCCUUUCGAAAGAAAGAUUAAUAUCCGAUAGUAUAUUAAAACCGCAUGGUUUUACUAUUAAAGAAUUUCGGUUAUCGAUGGGGAUGCGUUCCAUUAGUUUGUUGGCGGGGUAACGGCCCACCAAGACUACGAUGGAUAGGGGUUCUGAGAGGAAGGUCCCCCACAUUGGAACUGAGACACGGUCCAAACUCCUACGGGAGGCAGCAGUGAGGAAUAUUGGUCAAUGGACGAGAGUCUGAACCAGCCAAGUAGCGUGAAGGAUGACUGCCCUAUGGGUUGUAAACUUCUUUUAUAUGGGAAUAAAGUAUUCCACGUGUGGGAUUUUGUAUGUACCAUAUGAAUAAGGAUCGGCUAACUCCGUGCCAGCAGCCGCGGUAAUACGGAGGAUCCGAGCGUUAUCCGGAUUUAUUGGGUUUAAAGGGAGCGUAGGUGGAUUGUUAAGUCAGUUGUGAAAGUUUGCGGCUCAACCGUAAAAUUGCAGUUGAAACUGGCAGUCUUGAGUACAGUAGAGGUGGGCGGAAUUCGUGGUGUAGCGGUGAAAUGCUUAGAUAUCACGAAGAACUCCGAUUGCGAAGGCAGCUCACUAGACUGCAACUGACACUGAUGCUCGAAAGUGUGGGUAUCAAACAGGAUUAGAUACCCUGGUAGUCCACACAGUAAACGAUGAAUACUCGCUGUUUGCGAUGUACAAUAAGCGGCCAAGCGAAAGAAUUAAGUAUUCGACCUGGGGAGUACGGCCGCAAGGUUGAAACUCAAAGGAAUUGACGGGGGCCCGCACAAGCGGAGGAACAUGUGGUUUAAUUCGAUGAUACGCGAGGAACCUUACCCGGGCUUAAAUUGCAUUUGAAUAAUCUGGAAACAGGUUAGCCGCAAGGCAAAUGUGAAGGUGCUGCAUGGUUGUCGUCAGCUCGUGUCGUGAGAUGUUGGGUUAAGUCCCGCAACGAGCGCAACCCUUAUGGUCAGUUACUACGCAAGGGGACUCUGGCCAGACUGCCGUUGACAAAACGGAGGAAGGUGGGGAUGACGUCAAAUCAGCACGGCCCUUACGUCCGGGGCUACACACGUGUUACAAUGGGGGGUACAGAAGGCAGCUACCUGGCGACAGGAUGCUAAUCCCAAAAACCUCUCUCAGUUCGGAUCGAAGUCUGCAACCCGACUUCGUGAAGCUGGAUUCGCUAGUAAUCGCGCAUCAGCCAUGGCGCGGUGAAUACGUUCCCGGGCCUUGUACACACCGCCCGUCACACCAUGGGAGCCGGUAAUACCCGAAGUCAGUAGUCUAACCGCAAGGAGGACGCUGCCGAAGGUAGGAUUGGCGACUGGGGUG